CCUACGGGAGGCAGCAGCUAAGAAUCUUCCGCAAUGGGCGAAAGCCUGACGGAGCGACGCCGCGUGAACGAUGAAGGCCGUGAGGUUGUAAAGUUCUUUUCGGGAGGGGGGAUAAGCGCGGCAGGCAAUGGCCGCGCGAUGACGUGAAUCCCGGAAUAAGCCCCGGCUAACUACGUGCCAGCAGCCGCGGUAACACGUAGGGGGCGAGCGUUGUUCGGAAUCAUUGGGCGUAAAGGGCGUGCAGGCGGCCUUGCAAGUCCGGCGUGAAAUGCCCCGGCUCAACCGGGGAGACGCGCUGGAAACUGCAGGGCUGGAGUACAGGAGGGGAUGCCGGAAUUCCAGGUGUAGGGGUGAAAUCUGUAGAUAUCUGGAGGAACACCAAUGGCGAAGGCAGGCAUCUGGCCAUGUGCUGACGCUGAGACGCGAAGGUGCGGGGAGCAAACAGGUUUAGAUACCCUGGUAGUCCGCACAGUAAGCGAUGUUCGCCAGGUGGCGGGGGGUCGACCCUCGGUACCGAAGCU
rnacentral:rRNA from 1 species